AUACGUAGGGGGCGAGCGUUGUCCGGAAUGAUUGGGCGUAAAGGGCGCGUAGGCGGCCCGGUAAGUCUGGAGUGAAAGUCCUGUUUUUAAGAUGGGAAUUGCUUUGGAUACUGCAGUGCUAGAGUGCGGAAGAGGUAAGUGGAAUUCCCAGUGUAGCGGUGAAAUGCGUAGAGAUUGGGAGGAACACCAGUGGCGUAGGCGACUUACUGGGCCGUAACUGACGCUGAGGCGCGAAAGCGUGGGGAGCGAACAGGAUUAGAUACCCUGGUAGUCCACGCGGUAAACGAUGAAUGCUAGGUGUUGCGGGUAUCGACCCCUGCAGUGCCGGAGUAAACACAAUAAGCAUUCCGCCUGGGGAGUACGGCCGCAAGGUUGAAACUCAAAGGAAUUGACGGGG
rnacentral:rRNA from 1 species